rnacentral:misc_RNA from 1 species
GAUGAAGAACGCAGCGAAAUGCGAUAAGUAAUGUGAAUUGCAGAAUUCAGUGAAUCAUCGAAUCUUUGAACGCACAUUGCGCCCGCCAGUAUUCUGGCGGGCAUGCCUGUUCGAGCGUCAUUACAACCCUCAGGCCCCCGGGCCUGGCGUUGGGGAUCGGCGGAAGCCCCCUGCGGGCUCAACGCCGUCCCCCAAAUACAGUGGCGGUCCCGCCGCAGCUUCCAUUGCGUAGUAGCUAACACCUCGCAACUGGAGAGCGGCGCGGCCACGCCGUAAAACACCCAACUUCUGAAUGUUGACCUCGAAUCAGGUAGGAAUACCCGCUGAACUUAAGCAUAUCAAUAAGCGGAGGA